rnacentral:tRNA from 1 species
AUGCCUGUAAGUUGUUGACGAACGCUACCUUGAUACGGUAGAGGUCAACGGUUCGAGUCCGUUCGGGCCUACCA